GGCGGACGGGUGAGAAACGCGUGAGAAACCUGCCUUUCACAAAGGGAUAGCCUCGGGAAACUGGGAUUAAUACCUUAUGAUACUCUUAGAUCGCAUGAUCUGAAAGUUAAAGUGUAAAGCGGUGAAAGAUGGUCUCGCGUCCUAUUAGCUAGUUGGUGAGGUAACGGCUCACCAAGGCUGCGAUAGGUAGCCGGCCUGAGAGGGUGAACGGCCACACUGGAACUGAGACACGGCCCAGACUCCUACGGGAGGCAGCAGUGGGGAAUAUUGCACAAUGGAGGAAACUCUGAUGCAGCGACGCCGCGUGAACGAUGAAGGCCUUCGGGUCGUAAAGUUCUGUCCUUGGGGAAGAUAAUGACGGUACCCAAGGAGGAAGCCCCGGCUAACUACGUGCCAGCAGCCGCGGUAAU
rnacentral:rRNA from 1 species